rnacentral:misc_RNA from 1 species
GGAAGUAAAAGUCUAACAAGGUUUCCGUAGGUGAACCUGCGGAAAGAUCAUUACUGAGUGAGGGCCCUCUGGGUCCAACCUCCCACCCGUGUUUAUUGUACCUUGUUGCUUCGGUGCGCCCGCCUCACGGCCGCCGGGGGGCUUCUGCCCCCGGGUCCGCGCGCACCGGAGACACCAUUGAACUCUGUCUGAAGAUUGCAGUCUGAGCAUAAACUAAAUAAGUUAAAACUUUCAACAACGGAUCUCUUGGUUCCG